GAUUUUACAGAAAAAUCUGUGAAUAUGGUAACUCUGAUCGUAGACCAGUUUUAAAUUUGACAGAAGAACUGGUCGAAUAAAUAUAAAUAGAACGGCUUGCUGGGAAUACGUUUGCUGCAGUUUCUUCUCUAUUAUAGAUCUUCCAUAUAGAACUUCUAGCUGCUGAAGCUUCUCUAAAUGGUUAAUUCAAUUGUAAGCAAUGGAUGCAAAUAUUGAAACGUUGAAUAAUAAUGUACAAGAAAAAGAGAAGAUACUACAUGACAUGAACAACAAGCUAAAAAACUACCAAAGCCGCUUGAGUAUGUUUACUGGUGACAUGUUAGGUUUAGAACAAGAUAACAAUCAAAUCAAGGAACAAAUAAAAUCUACCACAAAUGUACAGCGAUAUCGGGAAACUCGUCAAAUGACUUCGGAUGAUGACAUAAAUGUCAAGCUAGAACUUGUGCGAAUUGAAAAAGAAUUGAUGAACAGAAUUUCACAGUUGGACUCAGGAAAAACACAAAUUUAAACUUAUUUUCAUUAAACAGUUGUAUUUGUAUCAUCAAACCAAAA